AAAAAAUUAAUUCUUUUUUAUUUCUUUUCGAUUGAAUAUAAGCGUAGCAAAGGAAUAGUGGGAGUGUGGAAUAAAAAGGAGUAGUUUGUUGGGUUGAAAAUCGCGGUUAACAACGAAGUCGUUCCAAUUUGGAUGAAAAGUCCUUUGAACCAUGCCAAUGCCAUGGCUUUUAUAUCCAGUGUUGGUGUUUUGCUCUCAUGCAGCCUGGGAUCUGCAAAUUGUGGAAGGCCCUGUAGAUGAAUAUACAUAUUGUCCUAAUCAAUUUGUUAACAAAUCAAGGCGUGUAUUAAAUUUAUAAAAGAAAGUAUUUAUCAAUAUGUAUUUGUAUUGAGAAGGGAAACUAAUGGGGGAUAAAAGAAAAACAAGAAUUAGAUACUAUUAAAACAAAAAAAUCAACAAAGGAAAUCAAUAAUUUUGGAAAAUCGAGCAAUUAAAAUGGAUCAAGAGCGAACUUUACUAAUUUCCAGGUGUAGCUACGAACUAUUCCCUAACCCCUAACUCCUCAACCCAUUUGUCCUUUCCCUGAAACUUUGACCAACAAUGACUGAAAUCACAUUUAAGUCAAUUGUACAUUGGCUAUGGAGAGUUAAUCAAUACCUUAGGCCCAUCUAAUCCAAUCAGUAGGAAACAUAACCAUAAUUGGCAUAUAACUAUGAAUCUCAAUUUUUAAAAUUUACAACUUUUAUAAAACAAAAUCAAGAAAAGGAGCAUGUUCAAAAGAAAAAACAAUCCAUAAAAACAUUUGAUAUUAAUAGAAGUAAAAUGUAAAGAAAACAUUAAUUGCACAAAAUUUCAAAACUAUUCCAGAUAUUAGCAUAGGAUAUUCAUUAAUCCAAGUAACACACUUGAACAGUGGCCCCGUUUGGCAAAUGACUUUUUUGAGUGUUUGUCUAAAACUUUACCUUAGAAGUUGUAGAAAAAAUUUUUAAAAUGAGAAACUUUUUUUCGUUUCUUUCUUUUUCUCUUUCUCUUUUUUUUUCUUUUUCUUUCUUUCUUUCUUUUUUCUUUUCUUUCCUCUCUUCUUGUCCUCCCCUCCCCCUCCCAAUCCGCCUCUCCCUCUCCCUCCCCUGCCACUCACCCUCCCUGUUGGAAGCAGCAACAGCACCAGUAGAAACCAAAAAAAAAAUUUUUUUUUUGCCUUUUCCUCUCUCCCCUUCUUCUCCCUUUCCCCCUCCCCCACCACUCUCCCUCCCCGUCAGAAGCAGCAAUAGAAACAAAAAACAAAAUUUUUUGCCUUUUCCUCUCUCCCCCCUCUCCUUCCCUUUCCCCUUCCUCGCCCCUACUACCGGAUCUGGUUGUGUGACCAGAUAGUACCGCUAGAAGGGUGGGGGAGGGUGGCUGGGGAGGAAGAGGGGGAGAGAGGAGGGAGGGAAGGAGGAGAGGAAGAAGGAGAAGAAAAAUGAAAAAAAAAAAGAGGUUGCUGGCACCGGAACCGGUCUUGGCUGGCGCAAGAGGUGGUGGUGGGUUGGGUGGAAGAAGAAAUGAGGAAGGGAAAUUAUUUUGAUUGUUUUGGGUAUUUUAAAGUGUGCAGUUUAAAAAUUUUGAGAAAUUUUUUGAAAUUACUAUAGCUAAAGUUAUUAAAAAACUGGUAGGCGACAAACUUAGCCAAAAACUCCUUUGCAAAAUAGGCCCAAUAUUUAAGAAAACACAAAAGCCGUGUCACUUCUUGCACAUUUGGUUCAACCAAGAUAAUUUCAAGAAACACAUAAAGGUAAUAACUUCACCUAAUUAAUGUAAAUGCAUCGCAAUUGAAUGUAAUCAAAUACUAUCCAAAUCAUCAAAACAACAUAACAGAAACAUCAAAACCUAAACAAAGAAAUCACGAUAUAGUUGAUCCAAUAUUACAAUAACAUCCAAGACAAAAAGAUUUUCUAUGAUAAUAUUUAUAGAGAAACAAUGCCUAUUCAGCAAUACCACCAAAAAACAAAAAGGCUAAAACAACUUUUGUUAAAUAUGAUAGAAAACAAUCAAAGAGAAUCUUUUGAAACUAAAAAAAAAGACCAUUACCAAAAACUGAGGAAAGAUCAAACAUAUCCACUAAAUCCAUUGCAUAGCAUUUUAGACAAAAAGAAGCACACAACUAAAGUAGAUCUCACAAAAAAACAUAAAGAACAAUCAUUUGCAUCUUUAACAAAACUUACACCUUUAUAUUAUUGCAAUCUAAAGACCCACAACCCAGACAAGAAUCUAAUACCAACUCUAAUUCAGAAUCUUAAUCUUUCACGACAUUUAAAUAUGGAUUACUAUGUAGAACAAAGUUAAAGAGGAGAAAUAUUAAGUGCAACUUCACCUUCAAGCUCUUGAUGCUGAGGUACUAAAGUUUGAUUCUCCAACAAUCUCUUGUUCUACCUAGGCAGGUAAUUCUUGCGUUUUAUUAUGUAAGUGGCCAUUGCUUUGCCAGAUGGAGAUUAGGGUUCGCCAACUCGGCUGAGUCUGUUACGACUCGGCCGAGUCAUAACCGGAACGGCACCUGCCGUUCCGAUACUGAUACCCGAAAUGUCGAUUACACCAUAUCCGAUUUGAAUCGCUCCGAAUCAGCCGAUAUCCUCAGAAUUAGCACUGUGUAGCAAGAUAACAGCCAAAUUCUCAGAUUCGACUCAAAUAUGUACCAGUAAACAAGUUUAAACAGCAAUUGGGAAGCCAACACCAAACAAAAAAAGAACCAACACCGAAAGGACACAAAAGGCAUCGCACCAUAGCUAGCUACGGCUGUUGCAGAGCAUUUUACAAAACCAAACAAAACUACAAUUACCAAAGGUGGUCCACACGGUUGUUGCAGUCUUUUCCCAUGCUUUAUUGUUUUAUUUUUCAGCCACAAAGACAAGCUUUAGGGAAAAGUGGGGAUAAAGAGAACCAUACCAGCAAUUCCUCCGUAAUCUAUCACUAGUUUUUGGGCUUCCCUCCAGAAUAAAGGUGACGGCCGGCUGGAGAAACAAGCCGAUUGGUUCUUCAAUUUCUUCAUCGUUCGGCUGUAGCUCAGAUCUGUUGACAGCCGGCUCACAUCUGUUGAUGCCCGGCUGCGGCUCACAUCUGUUGACGGCUCAUAUCUAUUGACGGCCAGCUCAAAUUUCCAUUGGAGAACAAAAUAUUGUUCAAUGAGCCAACUCUUCAAUUAUAGAAAGGGAAAGCAAAAGAAAAAGUAAAGGUGAUGGCCGGCUCUUCAAUUUCCACAUUAUCUGGCCGUGAAGGAGGUGAAAAAGUGAGAAACGGAAAUUGGGAAAAAAAAUGAAGGGAAGAGACAGAGGAAGAUAUGGCUAAAAUUGAAGGG
rnacentral:lncRNA from 1 species